ensembl:lncRNA
GUAUGAUAUAAACCUCAUGGAUCUGACAUUGGACUGUUUUCUGCUAGUACAGCUGAUGAUGAUUGCCACUGAUAAGAGUAUAUGAGUAUCUAGAUGAUACUUAUGGGACAACUGGAGGCUGGGCCUGAUGAUUGACUAAGAUAACCUCCUUAGAGUACCUACAUUGUGACCAUAAAGUACUGUGCCCAUGGGAAAACUUUGCGGUCCUGAGGCAAAAGAUAAACUUCACGCUUGAUAAAAAAUACAACCAAAAGGGCAACACCCGGGGCGCUAAAAUAUGGCUGAGCAAUAUUCCACAUGUUCUUUAUCCAUCCCUCUGUCAAUGGACAUUUAGCUUGCUUCCAUGUUUUGGCUAUUGUAAAAAUUGCUGCAAUGAACAUUGGGG